UGUAGUACAAAUAAAGUCUCCAAGUAAUUUCAUCCGCAAAAAGUACAACAUCCGAAAUGACCAUAGCGUGGGCCUUUCUUGCGCUUGCUGCACUAUCGAUAGCAUCGGAUUCCGUAUCGUCUCAGCAGUUGGACAUAUACAAUUCAGUCGGCCUGCCGAUUCUACCACAAAUAUACCAACCUAAUCCGCAAACUAGCACCCGACAGCAAUCGAAGCCGACCACAAAAUCUCCGAAGAGAAAAGUUAAGAAUCAGCAGCGGACUGUGUACGAUUCAAAUUCACGCGCUUAUUAUCCGGAUUCCUACGUUACAGAAGAUUUUGCUCCGGCUGCUGGGCCCGAUCGGUCUCGAAACUCUCGACAGAAAAGUCAGUUUCAACACCGCAGAAAAUCUCUGAAAAACAAUCAGGAUAAUGGCAACUAUUCGUAAUCCUUUUCGGCAUUUUUCGAAACGAAUACGAUUUUUAAAUAAAUGGGAACAAGUGAAUGUUUAGUUAUCCUGUAUUUCUUGCGGUGUUAUGUAGACUGUUCAGUAGCUAAUAAAAACAACGCAUGUUUUCCCUUCGA